rnacentral:siRNA from 1 species
GACAGGUUUCUUGUGUUCUGA